rnacentral:rRNA from 1 species
CUGGCUCAGGAUGAACGCUAGCUACAGGCUUAACACAUGCAAGUCGAGGGGCAGCAUUGGAGUAGCAAUACUUCAGAUGGCGACCGGCGCACGGGUGAGUAACACGUAUCCAACCUGCCGCUUACUCGGGGAUAGCCUUUCGAAAGAAAGAUUAAUACCCGAUGGUAUAAAGAGUUCGCAUGUUCUCUUUAUUAAAGAAUUUCGGUAAGCGAUGGGGAUGCGUUCCAUUAGAUAGUUGGCGGGGUAACGGCCCACCAAGUCUACGAUGGAUAGGGGUUCUGAGAGGAAGGUCCCCCACAUUGGAACUGAGACACGGUCCAAACUCCUACGGGAGGCAGCAGUGAGGAAUAUUGGUCAAUGGACGAGAGUCUGAACCAGCCAAAGUAGCGUGAAGGAUGACUGCCCUAUGGGUUGUAAACUUCUUUUAUAAGGGAAUAAAGUGAGGGACGUGUCCCUUUUUGUAUGUACCUUAUGAAUAAGGAUCGGCUAACUCCGUGCCAGCCGCCGC